UACGUAGGGCGCAAGCGUUGUCCGGAAUUAUUGGGCGUAAAGAGCUCGUAGGCGGCCUGUUACGUCUGCUGUGAAAUCCCGGGGCUUAACCCCGGGCGUGCAGUGGAUACGGGCAGGCUGGAGGCAGGCAGGGGAGAACGGAAUUCCCGGUGUAGCGGUGAAAUGCGCAGAUAUCGGGAGGAACACCGGUGGCGAAGGCGGCUCUCUGGGACGGUACUGACGCUGAGACGCGAAAGCGUGGGGAGCGAACAGG
rnacentral:rRNA from 1 species